GACAGAGCGUCUGGAGAGGCAGGAGGACACCGAGUUCCCCGUGUUGGCCUCCAGGUCCUGUGCUUGCGGAGCCGACUGGCGGCUGGGAUCGAGCCCCGACAAUGGGCAAUGCGCAGGAGCGGCCGUCGGAGACUAUCGACCGCGAGCGGAAACGCCUGGUCGAGACGCUGCAGGCGGACUCGGGGCUGCUGUUGGACGCGCUGCUGGCGCGGGGCGUGCUCACCGGGCCAGAGUACGAGGCAUUGGAUGCACUGCCUGAUGCCGAGCGCAGGGUGCGCCGCCUACUGCUGCUGGUGCAGGGCAAGGGCGAGGCCGCCUGCCAGGAGCUGCUGCGCUGUGCCCAGCGUACCGCGGGCGCGCCGGACCCCGCCUGGGACUGGCAGCACGUGGGUCCGGGUGAGCGCUCGUGGGGGGGCCUAGGGCAGAGCAGGGACGGGGCUGGGGCAGACAAAAGGCCGGGGGAGGGAGGGUUGUCGUCUCCGCUAGAAGUAGGCGAGUGUGAAACCGCACAGCGGUAAAUUGAGCCUCAGUCACUCCCACUUCCGCCCCAGGCUACCGGGACCGCAGCUAUGACCCUCCAUGCCCAGGCCACUGGACGCCGGAGGCACCUGGCUCGGGGACCACAUGCCCCGGGUUGCCCAGAGCUUCAGACCCCGACGAGGCCGGGGGCCCUGAGGGCUCCGAGGCGGUGCAAUCCGGGACCCCAGAGGAGCCAGAGCCAGAGCUGGAAGCUGAGGCCUCUGAAGAGGCUGAACCGGAGCCAGAGCCAGAGCUGGAACCCGAGCCUGAAGAAGCAGAACCAGAGCCGGAACUGGAGCCAGAACCGGACCCAGAGCCCGAGCCGGACUUCGAGGAAAGGGACGAGUCCGAAGAUUCCUGAAGGCCGGAGCUCUGACCGGCCGUGCCCCGCCCAUGCUGGAUAGGACCUGGGAUGCUGCUGGAGCUGAAUCGGAUGCCACCAAGGCUCGGUCCAGCCCAGUACUGCUGGAAGUGAAUAAACUCCGGAGGGUCGGACGGGACCUGGGCUCUCUCCACGAUUCUGGCUGUUUGCCCAGGAACUGAGGGUGGGUACCUCUGAGUCCCAGGGACCUGGGCACCCCCAAGCCCACCAUGAGCAUCAUCCAGUCCUCAGCCCUAAUCUGCCCUUAGGAGUCCAGGCUGCACCCUGGAGAUCCCAGACCCAGCCCCCUAGUGGAACAAGGACCUGACCCUCGUGCCUGCAUACACAACCCAUUUCCCCUCAUGAGCCACUUGGCACCCUAUGUAGGUACCAGCUCAACCCCAUGCAAGUCCCUGAGCUGAACAUGGAGCAAGGGGAGGGUGACUUCUCUCCACGUAGGGAGGGCUUAGAGCUCACAGCCUUGGGAAGUGAGAUUAGAAGAGGGGAGCAGAAACGGACCUUGAGUAGACAGAGACCACACACGUCAUUGUCAUUACUGUUUUAAUUGUCUGGCUUCCCUCUGGACUGGGAGCUCAGUGAGGAUUCUGACCAGUAACUUACACAAAA
rnacentral:sRNA from 1 species